UCGAGAUGAUCAAUUUAAAGAUAUUUGAACAUCAAAAGAACCUCUUCCAGUAUUGUUUAGAGGCCAGCUCCAUGUAAACUUUUUCCUUAUUAUAUAGUUUUCUAACCAAUUCUUUUCCCAACAUUUCAAAGAGAAUCCCAAUAUUCAUGUGUCCCUCUCUCAGUCUCUCACAUUUCUAAGUUUCUAAUCAAAUUUCAUUUCAAACAAAAUCCCAAUAUUCCUCUCUCUCCUCUAUCAUUUCUAAGUUUCUAAUCAAAUUUCAAAAAAAAUCCCAGUAUUCCUCACUCUCUCUCUCUCUCUCUCUCUCUCUCUCUCUCUCUCUCU
rnacentral:lncRNA from 1 species